rnacentral:rRNA from 1 species
CCUACGGGAGGCAGCAGUGAGGAAUAUUGGUCAAUGGACGAGAGUCUGAACCAGCCAAGUAGCGUGAAGGAUGACUGCCCUAUGGGUUGUAAACUUCUUUUAUAUGGGAAUAAAACGUUCCACGUGUGGGAUUUUGUAUGUACCAUAUGAAUAAGGAUCGGCUAACUCCGUGCCAGCAGCCGCGGUAAUACGGAGGAUCCGAGCGUUAUCCGGAUUUAUUGGGUUUAAAGGGAGCGUAGGUGGAUUGUUAAGUCAGUUGUGAAAUGUUGCGGCUAAACCGUAAAAUUGCAGUUGAAACUGGCAGUAUUGAGUACAGUAGAGGUAGGCGGAAUGCGUGGUGUAGCGGUGAAAUGCUUAGAGAUCACGAAGAACUCCGAUUGCGAAGGCAGUUCACUGGACUGCAACUGACACUGAGGCUCGAAAGUGUGGGGAUCAAACAGGAUUAGAUACCCUAGUAGUC